GACGAACGCUGGCGGCGUGCUUAACACAUGCAAGUCGAGCGGUAAGGCCCUUUCGGGGGUACACGAGCGGCGAACGGGUGAGUAACACGUGGGUGACCUGCCCUCAGCUCUGGGAUAAGCCUGGGAAACCGGGUCUAAUACCGGAUAUGACUCCAUGACGCAUGUUGUGGGGUGGAAAGCCUUGUGCGGCUGAGGAUGGGCCCGCGGCCUAUCAGCUUGUUGGUGGGGUGAUGGCCUACCAAGGCGACGACGGGUAGCCGGCCUGAGAGGGCGACCGGCCACACUGGGACUGAGACACGGCCCAGACUCCUACGGGAGGCAGCAGGUGGGGAAUCUUGCGCAAUGGGCGAAAGCCUGACGCAGCGACGCCGCGUGAGGGAU
rnacentral:rRNA from 1 species